rnacentral:rRNA from 1 species
GAUGAACGCUAGCUACAGGCUUAACACAUGCAAGUCGAGGGGUAACGAGAGGGAAGCUUGCUUUCCUUGUCGACGACCGGCGCACGGAUGAGUAACGCGUAUCCAACCUGCCCCCAACUAGGGAAUAACCUUGCGAAAGUAAGACUAAUACCCUAUAAUUUCCUCAGAUGUCAUCUGACGAGGAAUAAAGAUUUAUCGGUUGUGGAUGGGGAUGCGUCUGAUUAGCUUGUUGGCGGGGUAACGGCCCACCAAGGCAACGAUCAGUAGGGGUUCUGAGAGGAAGGUCCCCCACAUUGGAACUGAGACACGGUCCAAACUCCUACGGGAGGCAGCAGUGAGGAAUAUUGGUCAAUGGGCGGAAGCCUGAACCAGCCAAGUAGCGUGCAGGAUGACGGCCCUAUGGGUUGUAAACUGCUUUUAUACAGGAAUAAAGUUAGCCACGUGUGGUUAUUUGUAGGUACUGUAUGAAUAAGGACCAGCUAAUUCCGUGCCAGCAGCCGCGGUAA